rnacentral:rRNA from 1 species
UGGGGAAUUUUGGACAAUGGGCGCAAGCCUGAUCCAGCCAUGCCGCGUGCAGGAAGAAGGCCUUCGGGUUGUAAACUGCUUUUGUCAGGGAAGAAAUCCUUUGGGUUAAUACCUCGAAGGGAUGACGGUACCUGAAGAAUAAGCACCGGCUAACUACGUGCCAGCAGCCGCGGUAAUACGUAGGGUGCGAGCGUUAAUCAGAAUUACUGGGCGUAAAGCGUGCGCAGGCGGCUUUGCAAGACAGAUGUGAAAUCCCCGGGCUCAACCUGGGAACUGCAUUUGUGACUGCAAGGCUAGAGUGCGGCAGAGGGAGAUGGAAUUCCGCGUGUAGCGGUGAAAUGCGUAGAUAUGCGGAGGAACACCGAUGGCGAAGGCAAUCUCCUGGGCCUGCACUGACGCUCAUGCACGAAAGCGUGGGGAGCAAAC